rnacentral:lncRNA from 1 species
AGUGAAAUACCUGUUCCUUUGUCCAGAUCACCUUUCAAGAUAGCAAUUGAAGGAUUAAUUCCUCUAAGUCC